GAUGAACGCUAGCGGCAGGCUUAAUACAUGCAAGUCGUGGGGCAGCAUGAGUAGCAAUACUUGAUGGCGACCGGCAAACGGGUGAGGAACACGUACACAACCUUCCUUCAAGCGGGGAAUAGCCCAGAGAAAUUUGGAUUAAUACCCCAUAAUAUAUUUGAUAAGGCAUCUUAUUAAAUAUUAAAGCUUCGGCACUUGAUGAUGGGUGUGCGGCUGAUUAGAUAGUUGGCGGGGUAACAGCCCACCAAGUCUACGAUCAGUAGCUGAUGUGAGAGCAUGAUUAGCCACACGGGCACUGAGACACGGGCCCGAUCCUACGGGAGCAGC
rnacentral:rRNA from 1 species